rnacentral:rRNA from 1 species
AGUGAACGCUGGCGGUAGGCCUAACACAUGCAAGUCGAACGGCAGCACAGUAAGAGCUUGCUCUUACGGGUGGCGAGUGGCGGACGGGUGAGGAAUACAUCGGAAUCUACUUUUUCGUGGGGGAUAACGUAGGGAAACUUACGCUAAUACCGCAUACGACCUACGGGUGAAAGCAGGGGAUCUUCGGACCUUGCGCGAUUGAAUGAGCCGAUGUCGGAUUAGCUAGUUGGCGGGGUAAAGGCCCACCAAGGCGACGAUCCGUAGCUGGUCUGAGAGGAUGAUCAGCCACACUGAAACUGAGACACGGUCCAGACUCCUACGGGAGGCAGCAGUGGGGAAUAUUGGACAAUGGGCGCAAGCCUGAUCCAGCCAUACCGCGUGGGUGAAGAAGGCCUUCGGGUUGUAAAGCCCUUUUGUUGGGAAAGAAAAGCAGCAGGUUAAUAACCCGCUGUUCUGACGGUACCCAAAGAAUAAGCACCGGCUAACUUCGU